AGAGUUUGAUCCUGGCUCAGGAUGAACGCUAGCGACAGGCUUAACACAUGCAAGUCGAGGGGCAGCAUGAUUUGUAGCAAUACAGAUUGAUGGCGACCGGCGCACGGGUGAGUAACGCGUAUGCAACUUACCUAUCAGAGGGGGAUAGCCCGGCGAAAGUCGGAUUAAUACCCCAUAAAACAGGGGUCCCGCAUGGAAAUAUUUGUUAAAGAUUCAUCGCUGAUAGAUAGGCAUGCGUUCCAUUAGGCAGUUGGCGGGGUAACGGCCCACCAAACCGACGAUGGAUAGGGGUUCUGAGAGGAAGGUCCCCCACAUUGGUACUGAGACACGGACCAAACUCCUACGGGAGGCAGCAGUGAGGAAUAUUGGUCAAUGGCCGAGAGGCUGAACCAGCCAAGUCGCGUGAAGGAAGAAGGAUCUAUGGUUUGUAAACUUCUUUUAUAGGGGAAUAAAGUGGAGGACGUGUCCUUUUUUGUAUGUACCCUAUGAAUAAGCAUCGGCUAACUCCGUGCCAGCAGCCGCGGUAAUACGGAGGAUGCGAGCGUUAUCCGGAUUUAUUGGGUUUAAAGGGUGCGUAGGUGGUGAUUUAAGUCAGCGGUGAAAGUUUGUGGCUCAACCAUAAAAUUGCCGUUGAAACUGGGUUACUUGAGUGUGUUUGAGGUAGGCGGAAUGCGUGGUGUAGCGGUGAAAUGCAUAGAUAUCACGCAGAACUCCGAUUGCGAAGGCAGCUUACUAAACCAUAACUGACACUGAAGCACGAAAGCGUGGGGAUCAAACAGGAUUAGAUACCCUGGUAGUCCACGCAGUAAACGAUGAUUACUAGGAGUUUGCGAUACAAUGUAAGCUCUACAGCGAAAGCGUUAAGUAAUCCACCUGGGGAGUACGCCGGCAACGGUGAAACUCAAAGGAAUUGACGGGGGCCCGCACAAGCGGAGGAACAUGUGGUUUAAUUCGAUGAUACGCGAGGAACCUUACCCGGGUUUGAACGUAGUCUGACCGGAGUGGAAACACUCUUUCUAGCAAUAGCAGAUUACGAGGUGCUGCAUGGUUGUCGUCAGCUCGUGCCGUGAGGUGUCGGCUUAAGUGCCAUAACGAGCGCAACCCUUAUCACUAGUUACUAACAGGUGAAGCUGAGGACUCUGGUGAGACUGCCAGCGUAAGCUGUGAGGAAGGUGGGGAUGACGUCAAAUCAGCACGGCCCUUACAUCCGGGGCGACACACGUGUUACAAUGGCAUGGACGAAGGGCAGCUACCUGGUGACAGGAUGCUAAUCUCCAAACCAUGUCUCAGUUCGGAUCGGAGUCUGCAACUCGACUCCGUGAAGCUGGAUUCGCUAGUAAUCGCGCAUCAGCCAUGGCGCAGUGAAUACGUUCCCGGGCCUUGUACACACCGCCCGUCAAGCCAUGGGAGCCGGGGGUACCUGAAGUCCGUAACCGCAAGGAUCGGCCUAGGGUAAAACUGGUGACUGGGGCUAAGUCGUAACAAGGUA
rnacentral:rRNA from 1 species